AAGAAAGGUUAAGCAGGUGUGUGAGGGACAGAUGGGGUGAUUCAAUGGUCAGGAAAGAGUUAGCCAGUCCUGCAGGAGGAAGAGAGAAUGAGCCAGAAGGCUGUGUGGAGCUGCCUGUGGGUAGGCUACAGAGAGAAAGGCUGUCGUCAUCCCCCGGCUGCCCCACCUCGCUGGCCCCUUCCUUUGCUGACAGCUCUGCGUCCUGCCUGCCUCUGCCUGGGCACACAAAGUUUUGGGCUUGAAACAAGCAGGGCCUCACUGAAUCAAAGAUUCUUCUGUGAUACCUUGGAACCUCAUGGAAGCAAAAUACUUUUUGACACAGCAGAACCACAUGGAACCAAUGGUCCAUUGUAAUACUGCAGAUCCAAGGAGACCAUUGUGACACUCUGGAACCUCAUGGAGCCCAGGGGCCCUUGUGACACUGAGAAACCUCAUGGAAUCAAAAGUACAGUGUGAAAGGCUUCAUGGAACCAGGAGUCCAUUGUUACACUGUGGGGCUCUGUGGAGCCAAGGGGACCACAGUGAUAUUGUGGGGCCUCAUGGAACAAUGGAGACUCUUCUGACACUUUGGGACCACUGGAACCAAGGGGCCAUUAUAGCAUGGCAGGGCCUCAUGGAAUCAAGGGGGCUGCAGUGAACACUGUCGGUGUCCUUGGGAUGAAGGGUCCAAUCUGACACCGUGGAACCAAGGAUACCAUUGUGACACCAUGGGGCAUCAUAGAACCCAAGCUCCAUUGUGACACAGCAGGGCCUCAUGAAACCCUGGAGGCCAUUUGUACACCUUGAGGCCCUGUGAAACCAAAGGGCCAUUGUGGCACUUCAGAGCCUUGUGGAUGAGCCAAAGGGCCAUAGUGACACUGUGGGGCUUAAUGGAACCAGGGGACAAUUGUGGCACUGUGUUGCACCAUUGAACCGAGGAGAUCAUUGUGACACUGCAGUGCUCCAUGGAACUAAGGAUUCAUGGAACAGUGCGGGACCCCAUGGAACCAAAAGUGCAUUGUGUCAUUGCAGGGCCUCAUUGAAUCCUGGAGACUAAGAUGAAACUUUGAGGCCUCGUUGAACCAAGAGGCUCUGCAGAACCUUGUGGAACCAAGGAGCCUCUUCUGAUAUUGUGAGUCCCUGUGGAAGCAAGAGUCCUUUGUGAUACUGUGGUACCAAGGAGACCCCUGUGACACUGCAAUGGCUCAUGGAAGCAAGGGGCAACAAUUGUAUUGCAACAGGGCCCAAUGGAAGCAAGGGGCCGGUGUGACACAGCUGGGCCUCAUGCAGCCAAGGGGCCAUUGUGAUCCUGAGGAGCCCAGAAGAACAAAGGGACCACUGUGACACUGCAGGACUACAUGGAAUCAUGGAGACCAUUGUGACACUGCGGCCUCAUGGAACCAAAGGGACCACUGUGACACUGUGGGGCCCCAUGGAAACACGGGGCCAGUGUCACACAGUGGGGCCUGAUGGAACCAAGGUUCCAAUAUGACACCACCAUUGUGACACUGUGGGGCCCUGUGGAUCCAAGGGAACAGGGAACAGGUCUGGAUAGCUUGGCCUGACUGACUCAGCUGACCCUAGCAUGUUGGGGGUCCCUUCUCCUGCACCCCUGAAACACUGGGGCUCUAGGUUUUCUUUUCUGUGGGAAAGAACCAUCCCUCCUGC